AUGGAUCCUACGCUCUUUAAACUCCCUCAUAGUAAACAUAGUUGCAUAUGCAGAAGUAAAAUAACGGGCUUCGAAAUCCGACUUUUCCAGGAAUCGAAUAAUCAGUUACUCCAGGAGCCAUCGACUUCCGAGCAGCCCUCGACUUUGGAGCAGCCCUCGACUUUGGAGCAGCCUUUGACUUUGGAGCAGCCUUUGACUUUGGAGCAGUCUUUGACUUUGGAGCAGCCUUCGACUUUUGAGGGGCUUUUAAUGUUUUAGCACCUCCUGCUUGGUGACGGACUUGGCGAAGAAGUUGCUUCAAAAUGCCGCUUUUACUGCUGAAGUUCAUGUUUCCUUUCGCUGGAGCUUGAAACUGGGCAUGAAUUCGUAGCUAAGGUACCUUUUUACCAGUUUUCUUUUGAUCGCGUGACAAGCGGGAAGAUCGAAGACUUCAACUUCCUUAAUUAAUGUCUUUUCCACAAGGCUCCUGACACCAGAGACAGCCGAGAAUAACUUUUGGGAUUUGCUAAAAAGCUCCUCUAAUUUCCGGAACAUUGCGAAACAAUUUUCUUUUACCGAGACCUAAGAGCCUUCUGUACAUCCCCUUAAUUUUAGGCGUACAUUAAAGGGGCUUAAAAGUUCGCAGAAACAAUCAUAAAUAAUCUUUUCUUAGACCAAUCCUUAUACUUGAAACAAAAACAAACAAAAAAUAAUAUCAAUCAACUCACCACCCGGUACACAACCCUUCCCCAAUUUCAGUGAAGAAACACUCAAAGAAAGAGCUGGGGGUGGGUCAAUAUUUAAUCUGGAGCACAUGGAACGAAUUAAAUUUACGACAUUCCGGGCAAUUUUUAUUGCUUUGCCUUGCCAUACACGCAGGAGCGAACUUCCCAGCGUCGCGACCAAUCAUCGCAUCCCUCAGUUCAACGGCUGCAUGAUAUAUACAAUUGUGUAUACUUCUUGUAUGAAAGAAAACGGGAUCGCGGGCCCUUCUGAAAUAAAAAAUGCAUUUGUAAGUGUGGGGUAAUUUCAUGACAAUGAGUUGUAUAAAUCCAUUUUUUUAACUAAAAAAUGCAUUUGUAAGUAUGCGAUAAAUUUAUGUCGAUAAGUUGUACUAAGACUACUUCACAAUGUGUAAAUGCAUUUUCUUGGGGUUUUUUCUCUUCGUUUUCUUUGCCCCCGGCGAAAACAAAUAUUUUUAAUGUUUAUGUUGCAGAGUCAACAUUGAAAACCCUCUCUCGUAGGUGAAGUGGCGUUGGAAGCGUUUGCAGUACACUGAUGUUAAUUCAUUGCAGAAAAUAACGAAAAUAUAGUGGUUGUGGCACACUGUAGAACUUCUGCAUAAUAGAGCACGAUUAAUUGCCUCCAAAUAUGGUUUUUCCAGAGGACCCUGUACCUGUCGCUGACUUCAUCGGAAAUACUCCAGAUGAUGCAGCCGUUUUGAGGAGGAACGAACUCAGGCAGUGACUAACUUAGAAUUGUUCUGCAUUGGAAAAUAAAUUUUUGUUCAAUGCUCCUUAAAAAACUUGAGUGUUCAAAUUUAUUUUCACCACCACUUCUAAGAUCUUUAAGUUAGGAGUCAAUUAUACGAUUAAUGUGAAAUGAUCGUCUAUUGACAAGGAAGAAAAUAUUAAUUUGAUCAACAGUUGAAAAAAUAUAAUCAAUAAAAAACACACAGAAAAUGUGAAAAUGUGGAAUUAACAUAAUUAAUGAAUAUAAAGUUUUGAUAAUUAAGGCAACUAAAGGCCUGCACCGAAUAGCAGUUCAAGAACCUAAGCCUAUAAGACUUAAAGCUAAAGUACUAGUAGUACGUAUAAAGAAUGACGUAGAAGUAAGAAUAUUACUUACGUUACCGGAAAGUAUUUUAUCAUCGUUAAAUGUGUAAGAACGUAAAAAAUAGCUUAACUCCAUCGUUUUGUCUAUUAAGAAUAACAGCGACUUAAGAGGUAUUCACUGAAGCACAUUGGAUGCAAUGUUGAGCGGGGAGCUUGCACGACACUAGAUCACACACUCGAUCUAUUAACACCUAGCUAAACCAUAAAAUUACAAUUCACAAAGUUCUCAAAUACGAAUUACGAAAAUCGCGUAACCAGGGAAUUUACUGUAUAGCCAAAAUGGCGGCGCAACAACGUUC
rnacentral:lncRNA from 1 species